UGGGGAAUAUUGGACAAUGGGCGAAAGCCUGAUCCAGCCAUGCCGCGUGUGUGAAGAAGGUCUUCGGAAUGUAAAGCACUUUAAGUUGGGAGGAAGGGCAGUAAGCGAAUACCUUGCUGUUUUGACGUUACCGACAGAAUAAGCACCGGCUAACUCUGUGCCAGCAGCCGCGGUAAUACAGAGGGUGCAAGCGUUAAUCGGAAUUACUGGGCGUAAAGCGCGCGUAGGCGGCUAAUUAAGUCAAAUGUGAAAUCCCCGAGCUUAACUUGGGAAUUGCAUUCGAUACUGGUUAGCUAGAGUGUGGGAGAGGAUGGUAGAAGUCCAGGUGUAGCGGUGAAAUGCGUAGAGAUCUGGAGGAAUACCGAUGGCGAAGGCAGCCAUCUGGCCUAACACUGACGCUGAGGUGCGAAAGCAUGGGGAGCAAACAGG
rnacentral:rRNA from 1 species